CCUACGGGAGGCAGCAGUGGGGAAUAUUGGGCAAUGGGCGCAAGCCUGACCCAGCAACGCCGCGUGAAUGAAGAAGGCUUUCGGGUUGUAAACUUCUUUUAUCAGGGACGAAACAAGUGACGGUACCUGAUGAAUAAGCCACGGCUAACUACGUGCCAGCAGCCGCGGUACUACGUAGGUGGCAAGCGUUAUCCGGAUUUACUGGGUGUAAAGGGCGGGUAGGCGGGAGGGCAAGUCAGAUGUGAAAACUAUGGGCUCAACCCAUAGACUGCAUUUGAAACUGUACUUCUUGAGUGCUGGAGAGGCAAUCGGAAUUCCGUGUGUAGCGGUGAAAUGCGUAGAUAUACGGAGGAACACCAGUGGCGAAGGCGGAUUGCUGGACAGUAACUGACGCUGAGGCGCGAAAGCGUGGGGAGCAAACAGGAUUAGAUACCCUUGUAGUC
rnacentral:rRNA from 1 species